GACAAUUGCAUAGCCACACAGGAUGGGUGGCGGUACACCCCAAAGAAAGGGGGUGCCGCUUUAUGACGACUUUUCAGACAUUAACCUUAAUGAUCGCGUUUGCCGCGCUAGUCGUUUCGAUUAUAAAUACAAAAAAAUAACCCAUCCUGACACAUUCGACGGUUAAGGAUGGGUUAUUUUUAUCACCUGUCAAGGCCGCCACUUAUAAGGUGGCAUCAAUUGUCCGGAAGAGAGAUGUUGCUGCAUCUCUC
rnacentral:sRNA from 1 species